rnacentral:piRNA from 1 species
UACCAUAGGAAGUUGAUGUGACUUCGGUGA